GAGCGGAGGAGGGUCAAAGUCUGUGAAGAGCUUCAAGGCCUCAGCCAGAGUUGGGGUCUGGACAGGGGUUGGUGAGGCCUAAUAUGUCUUGCUCGAAUGCCUGGUCUUACUCCUAGAGGAGGCACCUGUCCCCAAGUUUAAGAAAUGAACAGUGACCUUGCUUUUUUUCCGAGUGCUGUCCACAUGGACACCUGGCGCUUUCCAGCCCCAAAUCCAGAUCCUACCCAGCAUGCACUAAAUAUACAGACAGGAUCAAGAGAAUCCUCUGUGUCCCAGCCCUGCCCCAUUUACUGUGCAACCUCAGCAUUCCCUGAGCCAGCCCCAGCUGCUGGAAUGUCAAGGCGUGGCCAGAGCUAUGACAUCAUCACCUCCAGCCUCAUCCCAUCAUCUUUAAGAAGUUCAAAGAAUUUCCUUCUUUGGAGAGUGACUCCAGCCGGGCAUCCGCAGGCCCAUCUCUGGACAGGGCAGGCUACAUGGACCUCAGACUUCUCAGACUGCUCUGGUGGGAGGGAGGAGAGGGCCCUGCUGGACGCCUGCACUUGGCCUCACCUCUGGGAAGUCCUCAAGGUGGGAUUCUUACCCCCAAUUUACAAGUGGGAAAACUGAGACCUGGAACCCUCAUGGGGAGAAUAGGUCUUACUUUCAGGCUGCCCUGUAGCCUGCACUUCCCUUAGCAGGCAAGAAAUAACCAAGAACAUGCGUGCAGACGGGUGGAGACGGGUGGCAGUGGAUGCGGCAGAAGUCCACAGCGGGAAGGUCCUCCUUUACUGCAAACAGAAUUCAUAGUUCUGUUUUGGGAUGGCCAGAAGACAUCCUAGGAAAGGUCUACCCCCUACCCGAGGUCUGAAGCCUGGGUUACUACUAUUUUAUCAUAAAGUAUCUGUA